rnacentral:rRNA from 1 species
UAGGGAAUCUUCGGCAAUGGACGAAAGUCUGACCGAGCAACGCCGCGUGAGUGAAGAAGGUCUUCGGAUCGUAAAACUCUGUUGUUAGAGAAGAACAAGGACGUUAGUAACUGAACGUCCCCUGACGGUAUCUAACCAGAAAGCCACGGCUAACUACGUGCCAGCAGCCGCGGUAAUACGUAGGUGGCAAGCGUUGUCCGGAUUUAUUGGGCGUAAAGCGAGCGCAGGCGGUUUCUUAAGUCUGAUGUGAAAGCCCCCGGCUCAACCGGGGAGGGUCAUUGGAAACUGGGAGACUAGAGUGCAGAAGAGGAGAGUGGAAUUCCAUGUGUAGCGGUGAAAUGCGUAGAUAUAUGGAGGAACACCAGUGGCGAAGGCGGCUCUCUGGUCUGUAACUGACGCUGAGGCUCGAAAGCGUGGGGAGCAAACAGG